UACGUAGGAGGCGAGCGUUGUCCGGAAUCAUUGGGCGUAAAGAGCGCGUAGGCGGCCCAGUAAGUCCGCUCUGAAAGUCAGGGGCUCAACCCCUGAAUGCGGGUGGAUACUGCUGGGCUAGAGUCCGGAAGAGGCGAGUGGAAUUCCUGGUGUAGCGGUGAAAUGCGCAGAUAUCAGGAGGAACACCGAUGGCGAAGGCGGCUCACUGGACCGGUUCUGACGCUGAAGCGCGAAAGCGUGGGGAGCAAACGGG
rnacentral:rRNA from 1 species